rnacentral:rRNA from 1 species
CGCGUAGGCGGCUUGGCAAGUCCGUUGUGAAAUCUCACAGCUCAACUGUGAAACUGCGACGGAAACUGCCUCGCUAGAGUGCGGGAGAGGAGAGUGGAAUUCCCAGUGUAGAGGUGAAAUUCGUAGAUAUUGGGAGGAACACCGGUGGCGAAGGCGGCUCUCUGGACCGCAACUGACGCUGAGGCGCGAAAGCUAGGGGAGCAAACG